CGUCACGGCGCGUCGUGGAUUCGCACACGUACACGCACGCACACACACACACACACACACACACAGACACAGACACACACACACACACACACACACCGUGACAGUUGCAGAGGCACGUGCGGCUCGACUCAGCGCGUCGCAUCGGCUUUCCGACCACCGUCACCGUGCUUCACGCGCUAAUGAAGAUCACCGUUCACGUGCGAGAGAAGAUCAUACCGCUGCAGUGCGGCGAUGGCACGCAGCAGGUGGUGUGGCUCGGUAACGCAGCCAUGAUACACUACGACGCUUCCUUUGGCAAGCGCUUCGGCCCGCCGGUGUCGAUCCGAAAAGAGGGCGGCGUGCAGUGCGACUUUGAGGCCCGCGUGUGCGACGUGCUGGAGGAUGGCCAGCACGUAUUUGUGACCCUCGAGAGCGACAGGGGGCAGUAAAAGCGAUGCGCAUCGCGAAAAAGGGAGCGCAUCGGUCAACGCAUGAGGCACGCAGGCACGGAAGAGGAAGGAGGAGGGCAGAGACCGCAGACACCACCCCACGCACGGGAAUAGCGCUCUGGAUCCGUCGGCAAUGUAGAGUUGCUUAGCGGAACGCCGAUGCCCCUCUCCCUUCUCUUCCUUUCCUGCCCUUCCCACCUUUCACUCACACGCACACACACGCACCCACACGCACACACACACGCACACACACACGCACACACAUCUCUGCACGCCGAUGCACACUGCUGCCUUUGCCAUCCUCUCAGUUCUUCAUGCUUCACGCCACCACCACCACCGACACCGCUGCUGCUGCCACUGCUGUUACUUGCGCGUUCGCCUUUUCCUCGUUUCUCCCACUUGUAAAGAGGAACAGAUGACUGGAGUGUCCUCGUGCCACGCCCCAGUCUUCGUUGUUGGCGUGCGUCUGUUGCUGUGCUCGCGCACUCUCCUCUAUUUCUUUGCCUUCCGUCACGAAUUCUUCGUGGGCCUCUCCGUGUCUCCGUGCCGUCUGCUUUCCCUCUUCUCAACUCUCGCUGUCGAUCAUCAUCAGGGUCGCCGUCAUGGUGCUGCUGGUGUAUGUCUGUGUCUGUCUCUGUGCGUGGGGGUGUGUGCCACUCAGUUUUCUCUGCACUGCCCUGGGCGGCGGCAUCACACGGCUGCGUGUGUCGGUCUGUCUUGACAGUUCGCCCCGCCCCACCCCCCUCUGCUCCCUCCCCUGGCUCCUCUCGAGACCGACGGCGGCGCUGACGGAUGUGGUUGCUGCCAUCACAUAGCAGCUGUGGGCGACUGAUGCAUACACACCUGAGCGUUGUGCAAUCAGCUGAGCAUACCGCCUCCUCCGUGACGGCGGGGGAGGCGGGGGGCACGCACCUCCAUGCGUGGUAUCCCAGGGUCCAGCGCCCCCCCCUCCACCCCCGCUCUCUCUGUGUACGGAAGCCCGGCAGCCCCCUCACCCUCUAUCCCUGCCAACGCCGAACCACUUCUGGUGCUGACAGGGCUGGGCCCUUACGGCGUUGGGCGAGGUCGGCGCGACGUAGCGCCACGGAUGCCGGCGGCCAUGUCGUGCAUGGCGCUGCGUCCGAGCCACCCGCGACAGUGAGCACAGGCUUGCACCGUCCAUGCGAUGGGCGGAGCGUGUCAGCGCGGCUCGAGCGUGUCGCAGCCGGCCCCUCACACUGGCCCACGGCGAGGGGUGCGGGGGCCUGAGUGUCACCGCGACGGGGAGACGCACCCAGGGAGGAGGUGGGGGGAGUGGCGACCGGCAUGAUGGAGGGGCGGCUGUGGGGCGAUGUGUGUGUAUGUGGGUGUCGUCGCGUUUGAGGCAGGAGCCGUGCUGCGAUGACCGAGCCGGCGCACUGCUGCAGCGCGCGUGUGUCUUGCGCUGCUUCGCACCAGGCGAUGGGAGUGAGGUGGGGUGCCUGCAGCACUCGGCGGCGGGGGGGCAGAGCGGCCUCCACCUCUCCCCACCACUCUCAUGUUCUAUAGAAGAAUGACCACAUCGGGUGAAACCUGCAGACGGCGCAAUACGAUGGAAGAGGAAAUGCUUCGCACGGGCCGGCGCGUGUGUGUGCCGUGGGGGGCGGCCUCCGCGCAGGCGACGCGCGCUCUGACGCACUUCGACACCUGCUGCGUGUGGCUGUUGCUUUUCUUGUGGCGCGGAAAGAGAGAUGUGCCGACGGCGUGGGCGAGGGCUGCGGCGCUUCUCUCUCUCCGUUCUCAGAGUGCCGCUCUACCACACACACGCAGUGCUGCGUGCCCGCACGCCUUGCCGCACAAGGCCGUAAAGGCCGUCUGUCUGUGAGGGAGGCGACGAGGCGUUGGACGGCGAUGAAGUGCACACUAUCGGCGGCGUUCGAGGAGGAACCCGCCCGCACGUGCGAGCGUCCGUAUCUGGGAUCGUUUCGCAUGGCGAGUAUCUGCGUUAUGUCUGGCACAGCACGUGCGCCAGCGCCUCUAACUUUACCAUGCUCUCCUGCUGCUGCUCCCUCUUUCUUGUCUCCUGCUCCGCUCCGCUGUCCACAUGUGCGCCUGCACGGAUAG
rnacentral:misc_RNA from 1 species